GACAAAGGAUGCAAGCGUUAUCUGGAAUGAUUGGGCGUAAAGCGUCUGUAGGUGGCUUUUUAAAUCCGCCGUCAAAUCCCAGGGCUCAACCCUGGACAGGCGGUGGAAACUACCAAGCUGGAGUACGGUAGGGGCAGAGGGAAUUUCUUGUGGAGCGGUGAAAUGCGUAGAGAUCGGAAAGAACACCAAUGGCGAAAGCACUUUGCUGGGCCGACACUGACACUGAGAGACGAAAGCUAGGGGAGUGAAU
rnacentral:rRNA from 1 species